rnacentral:misc_RNA from 1 species
UGGGUUUGACAUAUACCGGAAAGCCGUAUCUCUACGGCUUUCCGGUAUAUGUCAAACCCAGGUAAGGUUCUUCGCGUUGCAUCGAAUUAAUCCACAUGCUCCGCCGCUUGUGCGGGCCCCCGUCAAUUCCUUUGAGUUUUAGCCUUGCGGCCGUACUCCCCAGGCGGGGCGCUUAAUGCGUUAGCUACGGCACGGAUCCCGUGGAAGGAAACCCACACCUAGCGCCCACCGUUUACGGCGUGGACUAC